rnacentral:rRNA from 1 species
AUUGAACGCUGGCGGCAGGUCUAACACAUGCAAGUCGAGCGCGAAAGUCUUCGGAUGAGUAAAGCGGCGAACGGGUGAGUAAUGCAUGGGAAUCUGCCUGGUAGUGGGGGACAACGUCUCGAAAGGGACGCUAAUACCGCAUACGCCCUACGGGGGAAAGGGGGGAUCUUCGGACCUCUCGCUAUCAGAUGAGCCCAUGCCGGAUUAGCUAGUUGGGGGGGUAAAGGCCCACCAAGGCGACGAUCCGUAGCUGGUCUGAGAGGAUGAUCAGCCACACUGGAACUGAGACACGGUCCAGACUCCUACGGGAGGCAGCAGUGGGGAAUAUUGGACAAUGGGGGCAACCCUGAUCCAGCCAUGCCGCGUGUGUGAAGAAGGCCUUAGGGUUGUAAAGCACUUUCAGUGGGGAGAAAGGUGAUUCACCUAAUACGUGAGUCAAUUGAUGCUACCCACAGAAGAAGCACCGGCUAACUCCGUGCCAGCAGCCGCCGUAA